rnacentral:rRNA from 1 species
AUUGAACGCUGGCGGCAGGCCUAACACAUGCAAGUCGAGCGAGCGGCGGACGGGUGAGUAAUGUAUGGGGACUGCCCGAUAGAGGGGGAUAACUACAGGAAACGGUAGCUAAUACAGCAUACUACCGGAUAUGCCAAAUGGGAUUAGCUAGUAGGGGGGGUAAUGGCUCACCUAGGCGACGAUCCCUAGCUGGUCUGAGAGGAUGAUCCGCCACACUGGGACGGAGACACGGCCCAGACUCCUACGGAGGCAGCAGUGGGGAAUAUUGCACAAUGGGCGCAAGCCUGAUGCAGCCAUGCCGCGUGUAUGAAGAAGGCCCUAGGGUUGUAAAGUACUUUCAGUCGGGAGGCGUUACCGACAGAAGAAGCACCGGCUAACUCCGUGCCAGCAGCCGCGGUAAUAC